rnacentral:rRNA from 1 species
UUCCGGUUGAUCCCGCCGGAGGCCACUGCUAUCGGGGUUUGACUAAGCCAUGCGAGUCGAGAGGUUCAAGACCUCGGCGUACUGCUCAGUAACACGUGGACAGUCUGCCCUGAAGUGGAUGAUAAUCCCGGGAAACUGGGGGUAAUACUCCAUAGUUCGUGAUGACUGGAAUGUUUUGCGAACGAAAGAUCCGUCGCUUCAGGAUGAGUCUGCGGCCGAUUAGGUAGUUGUUGGGGUAACGGCCCAACAAGCCUGUCAUCGGUACGGGUUGUGGGAGCAAGAGCCCGGAGAUGGAUUCUGAGACACGAAUCCAGGCCCUACGGGGCGCAGCAGGCGCGAAAACUUUACCAUGCGGGCAACCGUGGUAAGGAAACCCCGAGUGCCAGCACAGGCUGGCUGUCCGCCAGUGUAAAUAACUGGUGAAGAAAGGGCCGGGCAAGACCGGUGCCAGCCGCCGCGGUAAUACCGGCGGCUCGAGUGGUGGCCACUAUUACUGGGCUUAAAGGGUCCGUAGCUGGAUAUACAAGUCUCUUGAGAAAUCCGCCGGCUUAACCGGUGGGCGUUCAGGGGAAACUGUAUUUCUAGGGACCGGGAGAGGUGAGAGGUACUGCCGGGGUAGGAGUGAAAUCCUGUAAUCCCGGUGGGACCACCUAUGGCGAAGGCAUCUCACCAGAACGGGUCCGACAGUGAGGGACGAAAGCUGGGGGAGCAAACCGGAUUAGAUACCCGGGUAGUCCCAGCUGUAAACGAUGCGCGUUAGGUGUGUCAGUGACCACGUGUCACUGAGGUGCCGAAGGGAAACCGUGAAACGCGCCGCCUGGGGAGUACGGUCGCAAGGCUGAAACUUAAAGGAAUUGGCGGGGGAGCAUCACAACGGGUGGAGCCUGCGGUUUAAUUGGAUUCAACGCCGGG